GAUGAACGCUGGCGGCGUGCCUAAUACAUGCAAGUCGAGCGCGAAGAUCAGGAGCUUGCUCCUGAGAUUUGAGCGGCGGACGGGUGAGUAACACGUAGGCUACCUACCCUUGAGAUUGGGAUAACUACCGGAAACGGUAGCUAAUACCGGAUACGACUUUUCCACACAAGUGGAACUGUUAAAAGGCGGAUUUAUCUGCCGCUCAUGGAUGGGCCUGCGGUGCAUUAGCUAGUUGGUGAGAUAGUAGCUCACCAAGGCGACGAUGCAUAGCCGGCCUGAGAGGGUGUUCGGCCACACUGGGACUGAGACACGGCCCAGAAUCCUACGGGAGGCAGCAGUAGGGAAUCUUCCGCAAUGGACGAAAGUCUGACGGAGCAACGCCGCGUGAGUGAUGAAGGGUUUCGGCUCGUAAAACUCUGUUGUUAAGGAAGAACACUUGAGGUAGUAACUGGCCUUGAGAUGACGGUACUUAACCAGAAAGCCACGGCUAACUACGUGCCAGCAGCCGCGGUAA
rnacentral:rRNA from 1 species